rnacentral:tRNA from 1 species
CGGGGCGUGGCGCAGCCUGGUAGCGCGCCUGCUUUGGGAGCAGGAAGCCGCAGGUUCAAAUCCUGUCGCCCCGA